rnacentral:lncRNA from 1 species
AAAAAAAAUGAUGAGGAUUUCUCUUCCAGGAAGGCAUUCGAGAAUUGCCACUAGAAACUGACUGGAAAUAAUGAAAAGCUUCCAUUCUGUCUGAAGAGGACAAGCUUUCUUGUGAGGCAUCAAAAUGCUUCAGGCUCUUCAAACAGCAACACAUCAGUGCCUGUGCGAUGCAGGGCUGCUGGGGUGGGAACAACACAUCCAUACCACUCAGCAGGGCUUGUUGUAGUACCUUCAGAGCAGUGCAGCUGGUUGUGCUUCAAGAACAGGCAUCAUCAUGCAGUGCUACCUGCACAUCAACGGGAUGUGCAGAACUGCUUCUUGUUGGGAUAACAGCAGCAGGAGUUUCAUCUGGAAGGUCUACCAGAAACCUGUCAGUGGAUGGCACUUGCUUUUUACAGUGCUGGUGUCUGGGAGGUGAUGGACUACAACAGACUCAGGAUUGCAAUACCAAGCUACUGAAAUUGCUGUUCUCUUGUUCUGUCCCUGCUUAGCAUCAGAAUGGGCCUGAAGUAUAUUCAUUUAUUUUUUUUUUUUAGUAUGAAAACACAACAGAAAUGUUAUAUUUGGACUUCAGUGAAGCUGCUCCCAGUCAGCAAAUUCUCUGUGUGUUUGCCUUGCCCCAGCUCUAUGUCCUUCUCACACCAGUCUAUGCCCACGUGCACAGCUGCUGCUGCAUUGUAUACGUGGCACACAGCUCUCACCCUGAUACUGACUCCAGGAUUUGGACCUGUAACAAAUAGGAAGCUCUUUCCACACACGAGAAGUGUUGUUUGUUUUUGUUUUUUUUUUUCCCUGUGCUACUUGUUAAUAGCAAUUUACAAGUCUUUUGUAGCUCCUGAUUAUAAUCUAACUCGUACUAUUCAUAUUUUGUGGAUUAAUUAAUUUUUCUGUAUUACUUUUCCUGUAAACUUUGUCGGCAUGUAUAUUCAUGAAAAGAACAGAGGGGAAAAAAUCCCAGAAAUUACCAAAAGAAAAACCCCUGCUAAAAGCAAUAAGUUUGCUGACAGAUGGUAGAAUCAGUUGAAAAUCGAGUACCAUAUUUACUAAGUCUAACCCAUUUAGUAAGCCAGAAAAGUGUUAUCUAAUUCUAUCCCCUGUGUGUUUGUGUUUUGGAAUAAACAGAUGCCUAAU